rnacentral:ncRNA from 1 species
CAAAGGCUUGGUCCUGACUUUACUAUCAACUCUAGCUAGACUUACACAUGCAAGUAUCCGCACCCCCGUGAGAAUGCCCUGACAGUUCCCCGCUCGGGAACAAGGAGCUGGUAUCAGGCACAUUACCCCCAUAGCCCACGACGCCUUGCUUAGCCACACCCUCAAGGGAAUUCAGCAGUGAUAAACAUUAAGCCAUAAGUGAAAACUUGACUUAGUUAAAGCUAAGAGAGCCGGUAAAACUCGUGCCAGCCACCGCGGUUAUACGAGAGGCUCAAGCUGAUAGACUUCGGCGUAAAGCGUGGUUAAGGAGAACUUACACUAAAGCCGAAUGCCCUCAGAGCUGUUAUACGCUCACGAUGGUUAGAAGCCCAAUUACGAAAGUAGCUUUAAACAACCUGAACCCACGAAAGCUAUGGCACAAACUGGGAUUAGAUACCCCACUAUGCUUAGCCCUAAACAUAAAUAGUACAAUACACCCACUAUUCGCCCGGGGACUACGAGCAUUAGCUUAAAACCCAAAGGACUUGGCGGUGCUUUAGAUCCACCUAGAGGAGCCUGUUCUAGAACCGAUAACCCCCGUUCAACCUCACCCUUCCUUGCUCUUUUCCGCCUAUAUACCGCCGUCGCCAGCUUACCCUAUGAAGGACGCACAGUAAGCAAAAUUGGCACAGCCCAGAACGUCAGGUCGACGUGUAGCGUAUGGAAGGGGAAGAAAUGGGCUACAUUCCCUAACACAGUGAAUACGAAAGAUGCACUGAAACGUGCAACAUGAAGGAGGAUUUAGCAGUAAGCGGGAAAUAGAGUGUCCCGCUGAAACCGGCCCUGAAGCGCGCACACACCGCCCGUCAUUCUCCCCGAGCUUAAACACUCACUUUUAACUAAAACCCUGAAAUUGCUAAGGGGAGGCAAGUCGUAACAUGGUAAGUGUACCGGAAGGUGCACUUGGAACAAA